rnacentral:rRNA from 1 species
UACGGAGGGGGGCUAGCGUUGUUCGGAAUUACUGGGCGUAAAGCGCACGUAGGCGGCUUUGUAAGUUAGAGGUGAAAGCCCGGGGCUCAACUCCGGAAUUGCCUUUAAGACUGCAUCGCUAGAAUUGUGGAGAGGUAAGUGGAAUUCCGAGUGUAGAGAUGAAAUUCGUAGAUAUUCGGAAGAACACCAGUGGCGAAGGCGACUUACUGGACACAUAUUGACGCUGAGGUGCGAAAGCGUGGGGAGCAAACAGGG